CUGCUGCUGUUGCUGGUGGUGGCCAUGGCAGCCGCAAGGCAGCAAGUGCCGCUGCUGCUGUGGUCGAGUGACCGCAACUUGUGGGCACCUGUGGCUGACACUCACGAAGGCCAUAUCACCAGCUGCUUGCAGCUCUCUACGUACCUGGACUCUGCCCUGCAGCAGGGUCCCCGGAAUGUGCUGAUCUUCUUGCAGGACAAGCUGAGCAUUGAGGAUUUCACGGCAUAUGGUGGUGUGUUUGGAAACAAGCAGGACAGUGCCUUUUCUAAUCUGGAGAAUGCUCUGGACCUGGCCCCCUCCUCGCUGGUACUUCCUGCUGUCGACCAGUAUGUAGUCAGCACUCUGACCACUUACCUGCAGGAGAAGCUUGGGGCCAGCCCCUUGCACGUGGACCUAGCUACUCUUCGAGAGCUGAAACUCAAUGCCAGCCUCCCUGCCCUGCUGCUUAUCCACCUGCCCUACACAGCCCCUUCCAGUCUCAUGUCGCCCAGGGAAGUCUUCACAGGGAAUGAUGAGGUCAUCGGGCAGGUGCUGAGCACACUCAAGUUGGAAGAUGUCCCUUACACAGCAGUCCUCACAGCAGUCCGCCCUUCCAGGGUGGCCCGUGAUGUAGCCAUGGUGACUGGGGAGCUAGGUCGCCAGCUGUUACAAAAACAGCCAGCAUCAGUUGUGAUCCACCCCCCUGUGAGUUACAGUGACACAGCCCCGCGGAUCCUCUUCUGGGCCCAAAACUUCUCUGUGGCAUACAAGGACGAGUGGGAGGACCUGACCUUCCUCACCUUUGGGGUGCAGGAUCUCAACCUGACUGGCUCGUUCUGGAAUGAUUCCUUUGCCAGACUCUCACUGACCUACGAACAACUCUUUGGUAUGGUAGUGACAUUUAAGUUCAUACUGGCCAGCGCCUUCUACCCAGUGUCCGCACGGCACUGGUUUACCAUGGAGCGCCUCGAAAUCCACAGCAACGGCUCCAUCACCUACUUCAAUGUCUCCCAUGUCACAGGGCCCAGCAUCUAUUCCUUCCACUGUGAGUAUGUCAGCAGUCUCAGCAAUAAGGGCAGUCUCCUUGUGGCCCACACACAGUCUUCACCCUGGCAGAUGACUAUUCAGGACUUCCAGAUCCAGGCCUUCAAGGUGAUGGGUGAGCAGUUCUCCUAUGCCAGCGACUGUGCCAGCUUCUUCUCCCCAGGCAUCUGGAUGGGGCUGCUCACCUCCCUGUUCAUGCUCUUCAUCUUCACCUUCGGCCUGCACAUGAUCCUUAGCCUUAAGACCAUGAACCGCUUUGAUGACUACAAGGGCCCUACCGUUUCUCUGACCCAGAUCUUGUGACCCUGUGCCAGUGGGGGCUUGAGGGAAUGAUGGUGUCCAGGAUGUCGCUCUCCCACCUUGGGGCACAGCGGAUGGAAGGGCUUCCCCUCUCCACACCACAGUAUGAGCCCCAAACUCCCCUCAGCCUAUCUUGUUCCCUCUUCAGCCUGCUGAGGGGUUUCCCUGGGGCUGCCCAACAUCUCUACCAAGAGUUUACAUAUUCUGCAUAGCUACUAGACAAA